rnacentral:rRNA from 1 species
UACAGGGGGGGCAAGCGUUGUUCGGAAUUACUGGGCGUAAAGGGCUCGUAGGCGGCCAACUAAGUCAGACGUGAAAUCCCUCGGCUUAACCGGGGAACUGCGUCUGAUACUGGAUGGCUUGAGGUUGGGAGAGGGAUGCGGAAUUCCGGGUGUAGCGGUGAAAUGCGCAGAUAUCAGGAGGAACACCGAUGGCGAAGGCAGAUCUCUGGGCCGUAACUGACGCUGAGGAGCGAAAGCAUGGGGAGCGAACAGG